rnacentral:rRNA from 1 species
GAUGAACGCUGGCGGCGUGCUUAACACAUGCAAGUCGAACGAUGAAGCCCAGCUUGCUGGGUGGAUUAGUGGCGAACGGGUGAGUAACACGUGAGUAACCUGCCCUUAACUCUGGGAUAAGCCUGGGAAACUGGGUCUAAUACCGGAUAGGAGCGUCCACCGCAUGGUGGGUGUUGGAAAGAUUUAUCGGUUUUGGAUGGACUCGCGGCCUAUCACCUUGUUGGUGAGGUAAUGGCUCACCAAGGCGACGACGGGUAGCCGGCCUGAGAGGGUGACCGGCCACACUGGGACUGAGACACGGCCCAGACUCCUACGGGAGGCAGCAGUGGGGAAUAUUGCACAAUGGGCGCAAGCCUGAUGCAGCGACGCCGCGUGAGGGAUGACGGCCUUCGGGUUGUAAACCUCUUUCAGUAGGGAAGAAGCGAAAGUGACGGUACCUGCAGAAGAAGCACCGGCUAACUAUGUG